CCCGCUGAGUUUAAGCAUAUAAACAAGCGGAGGAGAAGAAACUUACAAGGAUUCCCCUAGUAACGGCGAGCGAACCGGGAGCAGCCCAGCUUGAGAAUUGGGUGGCUGUGCCGUCCGAAUUGUAGUCUGAAGAGGCGUCCUCAGCGACGGAUCGGGCCCAAGUCCCCUGGAAAGGGGCGCCUGGGAGGGUGAGGGCCCCGUCCGUCCCGGACCCUGUCGCCCCACGAGGCGCUGUCAACGAGUCGGGUUGUUUGGGAAUGCAGCCCAAAUCGGGCGGUAGACUCCGUCCAAGGCCAAAUACAGGCGAGAGACCGAUAGCACUACAAAAAAAUACACU
rnacentral:rRNA from 1 species